rnacentral:lncRNA from 1 species
AGUCAAACAUUUUCAGAAAAGUAUUCAAGCCAAGAGUACACAUUGAAAUUAAGAUUAAACCUAUUCUAAAAAUUUAAAGAGUAAAAGAAAAAGUAAAAGUAAAAGUAAAAGUAAAAGAAAAAGAAAGAAAAACUAAAUCCUGUCUAUUGACAUCCCUCAGCAGAUGUCUGCAAUCAACCCAUGCUGUCAUCGGAGUCCUCCUGACUCUCAUCAUUAGCAUCCUCAAAGUUUUAUUCCUCCAUGUUCGGGGCUCCAUCUGCACCAAAACUAAACCCACUGCUCUGUGCCUUCUGCUCAG